rnacentral:tRNA from 1 species
GUCUCCAUCGUCUAGUGGUUAGGACACCGGGUUUUCAUCCCGGCAGCGGGGGUUCAAUUCCCCCUGGAGAUG